AUGGGCGACGUCGCUGCACCCCACGUUCUAGGUCGUCAGGGUUGGAGCCAGGCCAUGACAUCGUUGGGGCGGCAGAUUCGACCUGCCAUCAUGGAACGCUCUAGGCGAAGACCGAAGAGGAGGUGGAGGCGGAGUUGGGGGCGCGUUCGGAAGAUGAGAUUGGACGAGCGGCAGGGACAAGAGCCACGCGAGGGAAUAAAGGAAGAACCGGGUUGGGCCGGAUUUAUUCGGCCACAACGCACGGUCGGUUUCAGUUGGCCUGGCUCCGAUCGGACCAGCAGCCUGCUCCAUAAUGUCUAUACCGUCGGCCGCAGCAGUCGGCAGGCCCAGCACGCCCGGGCCCAUUGUUUCGGCCCGAGCACGCGUGGUUUUCUAUUCUUGAAAGGCAAGACGUCAACGUUAGCACACUUACGAGUCUUGCCUGUUCGGUAUGAUGCGUUCGCACACACCCAGCAAACCAGGAAAAAGAAAAACGCAGCCACGCUCUGCCUCGCGGCGCUCCGCCCCGCCCAACCCACCUCCAGCCACGCCCCGCGCGCCGCCGGCCGACUCCUGCCUCCCAAUCCCUUGUCCUCCCCACCCGGGGCUUUCUUCGCCGUUCAUAGCUCCCCUCCACUGACUGGUCGCGACCUCGCUGGAGGCACAGGAUGGGAGGGUGCGGCGCUGGCAUCCGGCUCACAGAGAUCGAGCGGACCGAUCUGCGCGCCGGCGACCUCGCGGGAGGCAGAGGAUGGGAUGGCGUGCUGCGCUCAAGACGAGCGGGCUCGAGUAAGGGUAUCGGAGGUUGGCGCCGGCGGGCUCGUGGACGGGGAUGGAGAGGGCAGGUGCCAAUCCGCCGUGACAAGAAAGCUGCUGCGGCGCCGACCGGCCAGCUCCAUCUCCACGAUUCCAUGGACGGCGGCCGUGGCGAUGAUGCCACGGAUGGAGGCGCUCGCCGCCGGCCGCGCGCGGCUGGAGGCCGUCAACGCGCUGCAGCACGAGUCCUGGCCCCUAGGAGGCCCGCGACGUUCGCCUCCAGUGGGGCCUCCUCAAGCGUGUGCUCGAGGAGAUGUCAGGCGGAUGAGAACUGGAGGAUGUGGGAGGCAACGUGCAUGGCCCUACUGCGCUCCGACGAUGACCGGAUGUUCCUCGCUGGAAAACGAGGAGCUUAAGUGCAUCCAUCAAGCAAAUUGUUUGACCAUUAAUACAGAGCACCUCCAUGUACACGUGGUCAACGUGUUGCUCGCCGACCGUGUUAUUCUUGAGAUCCGCGUGAAGACGGGGGAUCGGGCCUCCAGCACAAUUCGUUCUUUAGCAAUACGUGUUAGAGCUAUGGAUGCUGAACUCGCUAGAUUCCUUUUUGCUAUGUCCGCAGGGAGGUCGCUUCUGGCAUGUUCCGCAAGUUCAAAACAAAGAACAUCUCUAUUUGCACAGCCCUUCAGGGGAACAAAUGGAUUUCUGCACUCCGUCAGGAUUCUGACCGUGGACAAGCUGAUCCAGAGAGGAUGGCAAGGAAGCGAGAUUUGUUCGAUGUGCAGUUCGCGGGAGGAGUCAGUGGAGCAUCUUCUUCUGAACUUCUAUUUUGCUCGCCAAUUUUGGAGGAGGAUCGCGGCUUGGUCUUGUUUCGAUUUGAGACAUUAUGACGUGAAGAUGGCCUCCGGGAGGGCACGUUUACCAGGGUACCAGGACAUUUCUCAAGUCCUUCUCACCUUCGCCAUCGCAACCUCUCUCCUUCAAACCGUACUUCCCUACAAACCGCCAAGGAGUCCCCCAGCAACCACCCCGCUCUCCGCCCUAACCCCCUCCCCUUGUGUCCGUGCCGAUUCGACACCACCAACAAGGGGGUGGGGGUGGAGGAAGCGUGAGCCGGUUCUACAACCACAAGUGCAGAGCCUCAUGCAAUGUAAGAUUCGGGCCCAAACAAUGUCGACACCAUCUCGCUUCUCUCUUGCAGCCACCACAUCCCCUCAUUUUUUUUCUCCCCAUUCCAAGUGCCUCCUUCUCAAAUGCACAACCUUGCAAGGUAUUGUAUUUGUCCUCCCAAAUUCUCAGUCUUCUUACAUCUCAAAUUAUCUCGGGCUCCAAGUAAAUGUGCAUCCUCAGAUGCGCAACCCUGAACAAAACAAGGCAUUGUAUUUGUCCUCCCAUGUUCUCAUUCUUCAUACCUCUCAAAUUAUCUCCACUACACAAAAUGUGUUGCCUCUUCUUAACGUCCACUAA
rnacentral:rRNA from 1 species